rnacentral:tRNA from 1 species
GCCUUCGAGGUGCAGAGGUCAGCACGCUUGGCGCAUACUCGAGAGGUCCAUGGUUCUAUUCCCGGCGAGGGCA